CAGCAGCACCUGCUCUUCCAGAACACACAGAGCAUCUGGAGCUCAAGGACACCUGUCAUCAUCAUUGACUUCCGACCCCCAGCUGGAGCGCCGCUCUGGAAACACUGUAGAGGGCCCUGCCGCACCUGCUCUUCCAGAACACACAGAGCAUCGGGAGCUCAAGGACACCUGUCAUCAUCAUUGACCUCCAGCUGGAGCGCCGCUCUGGAAUAUUAGGAGGGUGUUCUUAAUGUUUUGUACACUGUGUAUAUAUACAAAAGUAUGUGGACACCACGUGAAAUUAGUGGGGGUUUGGCUAUUUCAGCCACACCCUUUGCUGACAGGUAUAUAAAAUUGAGCACACGGCCAUGCAAUCUCCAUAGGAAACAUUGGCAGCAGAAUGGCCCGUACUGAAGAGCUCAGUGACUUUCAACGUGGCACCAUCAUAGGAUGUCACCUUCCCAACAAGUCAGUUGGUCAAAUUUCUGCCCUGCUAGAGCUUCCCCGGUCAACUGUAAGUGCUGUUGUGAAGUGGAAAAGUUUAGGAGCAACAACGGCUCAGCCGCCAAGUGGUAGGCAACACAAGCACACAGAAUGGGACCGCCGAGUGCUGAAGCGUGUAGUGUGUAAAAAUCAUCUGUCCUCAGUUGCAACACUCACUACCAUGUUCCAAACUGCCUCUGGAAACAAUGUCAGCACAAUAACUGUUUGUCAGAAGCUUCAUGAAAUGGGUUUCCAUGGCCAAGCAGCCGUACACCAGACUAACACAAACCAUGUGCAAUGCCUAGCGUUGGCUGGAGUGGUGUAAAGCUCGCCACCAUUGGACUCUGGAGCAAUGGAAAUUAGUUCUCUGGAGUUAUGUAUCAUGCUUCACCAUCUGGCAGUCCAACAGACGAAUCUGGGUUUGGUGGAUGCCAGGAGAACACUACCUGCCCCAAUGCAGAGUGCCAACUGUAAAGUUUGGUGGAGGAGGAAUAAUGGUCUUGGGCUGUUUUUCAUGGUUCGGGCUAGACCACUUAGGUCUAGUGAAGGGAAAUCUUAACACAACAGCAUACAAUGACAUUCUAAGCGAUUCAAUGCUUCCAACUUUGUGGCAACAGUUUGGGGAAGGCCCUUUCCUGUUUCAGCAUGACAAUGCCCCUGUGCACAAAGCAAGGUCCAUACUGACCUCAACCCCAUCGAAAACCUUUGGAAUGAAUUGGAACGCCGACUGCGAGCCAGGCCUAAUCGCCCAACCUCAGUGACCGACCUCAUUAAUGCUCUUGUGGCUGAAUGAAAGCAAGUCCCCGCAGCAAUGUUCCAACAUCUAGUAGAAAGCCUUCCCAGAAGGGUGGAGGCUGUUAUAUCAGCAAAGGGGGGACCAACUCCAUAUUAUUUCUCAUGAUUUUGGAAUUAGAUGUUCGAUGUGCAGGUGUCCACAUACUUUUGGUAAUGUAGUGUAUAUUCAAAGUGUUAUGUUUUUAGUCUCACAGUUAGCCUGUAAUUGCAGCUAUAUACAUUCUUCAGCUUGAAAUAUUAUUGUAAAGUCUCAGGUAAAUACCAAUCUUGGUCCUGGAGAGCUACAAGGUGUGCAGGCUUGUUUCAGCCCAGUACUAAUGCACCUACUACCUAAGACAGUGAGACUAAUGUUUUCCCCAGUAGGGGGUGUGGCCUGGAUGCAUUACAUUUCUAAGAACGCUAUGACUACAAUGCCAGAGGUCUUCUCCUGAGUUACUGUACUCAUGGCUCCCGUUCCUGAGCUGCUGCUGCUGGCCACUCUGAUCAAAACAGAGCUGAAGAGAUUCUAGUGGUUCCUGAACCAAGGUUUAGAAGGAUUCUCUUGCAACACAAAAGGCCGGCUGGAGAAUACUAACAGAUAGACUACGGUGGAUCAGAUGGUGGAGACCAAGGUAUUGUGGGAGCUGUGAAGAUCUCACUGAAGAAGAUUAACCAGAACCAACUGGUUGAAACAGUAAAGAAUGAGUACGAUGAGGGUGAGACAACAGAACCAGCAGGUUAGAGGACUAUAAAACUUUUAAGGUGACAACUGCACAAACAAAUAACAGGACAUUGAUUUUUCAGACUAGACAACCAAACAAGAACAUUUGAAUUUAACAAGCUGUCUCUCUCUUUCUCUCUCAGCCCAGAGUGCUUCAGAAGUUCUAGAUGUCAGAGGUAAGGUAAGUAUUAUGGUUGUAAACUUCUGGUUCAGAAGACAUCAUAUCAACCUGGUAAAGAUGUAUUUUUAAGAUGUAUUUUUUCAUGACAACAUCAAGACAUCAUGAGAAAGAAGUCAUAUUUUUGUUGUUAUCUGGUCAGAUAACCAGAUUAUUGUCUGUUGGCUAAAAACAACCUGACCAAAACAAGGCCCUAUUAUUACACUCUGACUAAUCCAAUCCAGACACACACAAACACAUACUAUAUAGUAAUCAUGACCAUAAAAUAAAGAAUACACUUUGAUUUUCCUUGCAGACAAAGGCAAACUGAAAUAAGUAUGGUUGUAUAUGAGGGGACUUAAAAGAAAGGGGAAUCUAUCUAAACCAGAUAUACAGUGAUCUCCAUUCAAACAGAGGGGUCAGAGAUGAGCAUGAGGCCAUACAUCUGGAAUCCAGAACACCAGCCACAGGAGAGACCGCUAUUGAAGCCAGACAAUAUUCAAGCCCAUGUGAAAGACUGUCUCUGUUCAGAAGUUUAUUCACGACUGGGCAGAAGGAAAAGGUCUUUCCACAAAAUAAAUCAUUAUGUAGGGAAAAACAACUGUGAUUGAACUGCUUCGUGAAUUCUUCCCUAAAAUGAAACCAAUCAAGACUAUGACGAGCAAUUCUAAAGUUCUGUUCAUAUUUGAUGGGCUGGAUGAGUGUCGACUCUCUCUGGACUUAAAAAAAGGCUCUUGGAAUCAUGUGACCCUAGAACAAGAUAACCGCAUGAACUGAAAGCUCCACAUAAACUGAGAGCUCCGCACAAGUAAUUUCCUAAUCUUAUUCUUACCUCCACUUCAAGUUAAACUCCAUUAGCUUUAGUUUUAAAAAACAUGGCGGCUACAAAAGGUGGCAUGAUGUGACAUUUUUACCUGGACUCAAGCAAUAUCUGUGGAAAAAGCCUCCAAGAAACAGCUAGCUUCAGAAAAAGCUGGCACCUCUGUCGAAGACAUCCUUUCUUAGCUUAGAUCCCAACGUACAGAAGUCAACAUCAAACUAGAUGGCAUUAACUCUCAGAUCAGUGGGAUAGGGGGCAAGGCGACAACCCUGGAAAAUACCUUUCUUGGCAUCAACAACAAGAUAACCAUCAACGUGUGGCGCCUGGAUGAGGCAGAAGGGUGAAUCCUAUCCAUGGAAAACUCAAUGGCACAUGCCAUGGAAACAACAGCAUCUGGCAGACGCCAUGGAAACAAUAGCAUCUGCUACCAUAGAAACAACAGCAUCUGCUGAAAAGAAAAUAGAGCAUCUGGAAGAGAAAACAGAGGACCUGGAAUAGAGGGAGAAGGAAUAACUGUGUUCUAUUAAACCUGACUGUAAAAGAAGAGGGAAACAUAACACUGAUCCGCUACCUGCAAGACAAACUCCCCGAGUGGAUCUCGAGAGAGCUUACUUAGUACUGAGGCCCUCACCAGCAGCCAGACAACCACGGCGCCCAAUCACCAUACAUUUCCUGAGAUUCACCGACAAGGAACGAGUCCGACAGACGCCGAAAAUAAACACCAUUACAGUGGGAAAAUCCAAACUCACUUUACACCAGGACCUGUCAGCUGGAAUACGCAGAGAGUUUGACGAGGUGAAGAAACACUUCAAUGACCGAGGCAUCUUCAGGGGAUUCAAAUACCCAAACGAGCUCAGGAUUCUUCACCAAGGAGCCCUGCGACACAUCUAAACUCCCAAAGAGGCAAAAGGUUUUUUGGAGGACAAUCCUGGCCACUGAGAAAUAGACCAACGACUAAAAGUGAUUACUGUUAUUAUUAAUGGAGGUAAGACAACAUAUAUCCCCCAUCCAAUGACCCACCCGACCUGCUAAUGUCUAUUUUUGAAAUGUUAUUUUAGCUGAGAGAGGGAUAGGCCCUAUAGCUUAACCUAGGCCUUCUAAUGUUUUAGCCUACUUGUUUUUCCACUUUUAGGUCCAGUGAGAAAAUGAAGCAUUUACAGCCGGUUAUCUUGUCUGUAGAACGUAUAGGCUAAUUGGCAGACAUAGAGAUCAGAUACUGUCAAUAUAUAUUAGGCAUAUAGCCUAUUUUCUUUAUUUGUAUUCAUCAUUUUCACACAGAUCUUCACCAUUGAUAGCCUGUCGAUUACGACACAUUCACAGACAUAACGAGAGGCUCAGUGUGUGAAUUUUUUGCCCAUGGUUAUGACCGCCUUAUCCUGUUGAUAUUUCGUUUUAAUAAUAGCAAACAACUUAUCCUAUAGAUGUCAUUUAGGGAUUUGCUCUCUCAUUUCUGUUUUAUUUAGUCCAAACAUUUAGGCCCAUGUCCUUUGGGGGAUGUAUUUGUAGGCUAGGCUAUUGAUUUUAUUUACUUAAUUUCUCCAUCUCUUUUUUACUGUGGACGGGGGCUAUGUUGUCACAGAGAGGAUGAGGCAUUUAUUUCUCUCUCUCUCAGAAGAUGUUGUGCGUUGCGAACUGUUCCUGUUUUUCGGAACACAGAAUUGUGACUAAGCGUGGGGUUAAUAGAUCCAAUAGGAUAUGUUGAGUUGUUGUUUGAGAACUUGUGUUCAGAGAUUGUUAUUUUAUGUACAUAGUUUAUUUUUCUUUUAUGUGAUCGCAGCUGUAACUAUUAUCCACCUAUACUGUCACACCCUGAUCUGUUUCACCUGUCUUUGUGAUUGUCUCCACCCCCCUCCAGGUGUCGCCCAUCUCCCCCAUUAUUCCCUGUGUAUUUAUACCUGUGUUCUCUGUUUGUCUGUUGCCAGUUCAUCUUGUUUGUCAAGCCAACCAGCGUUUUUGUGUCAGCUCCUGCUUUUCCCCAGUCUCUCUUUUCUCAUCCUCCUGGUUUUUGAACCUUGCCUGUCCUGGCCCUGUACCCACCUGCCUGCCCCUGACCCUGCCUGACGUUCUGUACCUUUACCCCACCUCUGCCUGACCUGACCCUGAGCCUGCCUGCCGUCCUGUACCUUUGCCCCUGUUGCUGUAAUAAACAUUGUUACUUCGACACGGUCUGCAUCUGGGUCUAACCUUGAUACCUGAUAUAUACUCAGAGAUGACUUGCACUAGAGUUCGAUUACUGUUCGAUGACCUGGUACCUUAAAUCUACUGACAUGGAACUGCCAUGGACUAGGUCAUUUAAUAAAACGGUAUAAAAAGUGCUCUAAAAAACGAAAAUGUAGACAUUGCGCUAUUACAAGAGGUACACCUCUGUGGUGCUGAACAUGCUAAACUCCACAGAGCUUGGGUGGGACAGGUGUAUUUCUAAUCGUUCAAAUCAAACGGUAGAGGCACAGCCAUACUUAUCUAUAAGCAUGUUCCAUUCAUAAUUGACAAAAACAUAUCUGAUCCGGAGGAGAGAUUUAUUCUGGGUCAAUGUAUGGACAACCAAUUACUAUCUUAAAUAUUCAUGCCCCUAACACUGAUACUCCUGCUUUCAUGUUGAAAAUAAAAAACCCUGUUCAAUGA